AGAGCGAACGCUGGCGGCAGGCCUAAUACAUGCAAGUCGAGCGGCCACUUCGGUGGCAGCGGCGGACGGGUGAGUAACGCGUGGGAAUGUGCCCUUUGGUACGGAACAACUGAGGGAAACUUCAGCUAAUACCGUAUGUGCCCUUCGGGGGAAAGAUUUAUUGCCAUUGGAGCAGCCCGCGUUGGAUUAGCUAGUUGGUGGGGUAAAGCCCACCAAGGCGACGAUCCAUAGCUGGUCUGAGAGGAUGAUCAGCCACACUGGGACUGAGACACGGCCCAGACUCCUACGGGAGGCAGCAGUAGGGAAUCUUGCGCAAUGGGCAAAGCCUGACGCAGCCAUGCCGCGUGAAUGAUGAAGGUCUUAGGAUUGUAAAAUUCUUUCACCGGGAAGAUAAAUGAACGGUACCCGGAGAAGAACGCCCGGCUAAACUUCGUGCCAGCAGCCGC
rnacentral:rRNA from 1 species